AAACAAGUAGAAGCCUACAGAGAGGAAUCACAAAAAUCCCUGAAAGAAUUCAAGGAAAACAUAAAUAAACAAGUAGAAGCUUAUAGAGAGGAAUCACAAAAAUCCCUGAAAGAAUUCCAGGAAAACACAAUCAAACAAUUGAAGGAAUUAAAAAUGGAAAUAGAAGCAAUCAAGAAAAAACACAUGGAAACAACCCUGGAUAUAGAAAAGCAAAGGAAGAGACAAGGAGCCGUAUAUACAAGCAUCACCAACAGAAUACAAGAAAUAGAAGAGAGAAUCUCAGGAGCAGAAGAUUCCAUAAAAUUCAUCGAAUCAACAGUCAAACAUAAUGUAAAGCAGAAAAAGCUUCUGGUCCAAAACAUACUGGAAAUCCAGGACUCAAUGAGAAGAUCAAACCUAAGGAUAAUAAGUAUAGAAAAGAGUGAAGACUCCCAGCUGAAAGGACCAGUAAAUAUCUUCAACAAAAUCAUAGAAGAAAACUUCCCUAACCUAAAAAAAGAAAUACCCAUAGGCAUACAAGAAGCCUACAGAACUCCAAAUAGAUUGGACCAGAAAAGAAACAACUCCCGACCCAUAAUAGUCAAAACACCAAAUGCACAAAAUAAAAAAAAA
rnacentral:lncRNA from 1 species